GGGACACGUGGUAUCCUGUCUGAAUAUGGGGGGACCAUCCUCCAAGGCUAAAUACUCCUGACUGACCGAUAGUGAACCAGUACCGUGAGGGAAAGGCGAAAAGAACCCCGGCGAGGGGAGUGAAAAAGAACCUGAAACCGUGUACGUACAAGCAGUGGGAGCACGCUUAGGCGUGUGACUGCGUACCUUUUGUAUAAUGGGUCAGCGACUUAUAUUCUGUAGCAAGGUUAACCGAAUAGGGGAGCCGAAGGGAAACCGAGUCUUAACUGGGCGUUAAGUUGCAGGGUAUAGACCCGAAACCCGGUGAUCUAGCCAUGGGCAGGUUGAAGGUUGGGUAACACUAACUGGAGGACCGAACCGACUAAUGUUGAAAAAUUAGCGGAUGACUUGUGGCUGGGGGUGAAAGGCCAAUCAAACCGGGAGAUAGCUGGUUCUCCCCGAAAGCUAUUUAGGUAGCGCCUCGUGAAUUCAUCUCCGGGGGUAGAGCACUGUUUCGGCAAGGGGGUCAUCCCGACUUACCAACCCGAUGCAAACUGCGAAUACCGGAGAAUGUUAUCACGGGAGACACACGGCGGGUGCUAACGUCCGUCGUGAAGAGGGAAACAACCCAGACCGCCAGCUAAGGUCCCAAAGUCAUGGUUAAGUGGGAAACGAUGUGGGAAGGCCCAGACAGCCAGGAUGUUGGCUUAGAAGCAGCCAUCAUUUAAAGAAAGCGUAAUAGCUCACUGGUCGAGUCGGCCUGCGCGGAAGAUGUAACGGGGCUAAACCAUGCACCGAAGCUGCGGCAGCGACGCUUAUGCGUUGUUGGGUAGGGGAGCGUUCUGUAAGCCUGUGAAGGUGUGCUGUGAGGCAUGCUGGAGGUAUCAGAAGUGCGAAUGCUGACAUAAGUAACGAUAAAGCGGGUGAAAAGCCCGCUCGCCGGAAGACCAAGGGUUCCUGUCCAACGUUAAUCGGGGCAGGGUGAGUCGACCCCUAAGGCGAGGCCGAAAGGCGUAGUCGAUGGGAAACAGGUUAAUAUUCCUGUACUUGGUGUUACUGCGAAGGGGGGACGGAGAAGGCUAUGUUGGCCGGGCGACGGUUGUCCCGGUUUAAGCGUGUAGGCUGGUUUUCCAGGCAAAUCCGGAAAAUCAAGGCUGAGGCGUGAUGACGAGGCACUACGGUGCUGAAGCAACAAAUGCCCUGCUUCCAGGAAAAGCCUCUAAGCAUCAGGUAACAUCAAAUCGUACCCCAAACCGACACAGGUGGUCAGGUAGAGAAUACCAAGGCGCUUGAGAGAACUCGGGUGAAGGAACUAGGCAAAAUGGUGCCGUAACUUCGGGAGAAGGCAC
rnacentral:rRNA from 1 species